rnacentral:lncRNA from 1 species
CAUGGGGACACUAGGAGACAUCGGGAUACAGAGGGCACUAAGACACUGGGAUCCAUAGUCUAUGUCCCCAAGUGUCUCAGUGUCCCCAUGUCUCACAGUGUCCCCUAGUGACAUGGGGACACUGGGAGACAUGGGGACACAGACACUAGGGGACACUGGGUGUAAUCUAUCAAUACAGCAGAAUCAAACUAAGUAGUUUUUUGGUGAUUUCACAGAAUUUUCUCUGUCACUCCUUGUAAUUUACAUCAUGUGAUGUUACACAUUGGCAACCCUAACUACUCUUCACAUAUUCUUGCUUAAGUAUGGAAACUUAAGAGGCAUAUGUGGAAACAAAACUUGUGUGAACUAGCUGAAAUGAAAUUAGUUAAGGUAAUACUGACUUUGGUCUCUCAAACACUGCGGCAUGUUCCCUUUCUUCUACACUCACUACAUCCACCUUUUCUCUGUCUCAGACUGUAUACCAGGAGCUUCUGCCUACUAGUAAGAAGGUAAGGAGACAAGUGGACAUGUGAGUGCUAGUGGACUGUCCUUAGAAAGCAUGGAGCGAGCGCAUCAUUAGACGCAUUUAUGCCAAGCUCAGGAUGCUGUUGGCCAGCAUGCAUGAUUGGCAGGCAGCCUGACAUGUAUUCAUCCCAGGCUAGCCUUCAAUUCUUUGGGCAGACAUGCCUCGUUUUUGGUCAUAUUCGCCCCUUUCGGAAGUCCUGGUUAUAUGAUCCGCGUCAGUGGUCCACCCUAUUACACCACCCAUUAACUUCCUGCUUCUGUGGACACUGUUGUUAGGAGAUAUGGAUUUACUUGAAAGAUGAAAGUAUGAAUUAGAGAGAGAUUAGCAUAUUUUAAGAGAAUCUGAUUUUUUAUUUUUAUAUAGCUGCAUCCUAUGAGUUGAGGAACACUGUGUGCGCAUUUAAAAUACUUGAAACAGGAAGGUGGUUGAAUUCAAUGCUUUCAUUUGAGCUGCAAUACAAGCAUUGUAGUUUCUACAAAACCACAAUGUGUUACAUUGCAGGGUUAAAAAUAACAGGACCACUGCACCCAGACCACUUCAUGGAGAUGAAGUUGUGUGGGUGACAUUAGUGAUCCUUUAAGAUUAUGGAGGAAGGGGGCAUUAAAGAAACACUCUAAUGUUAGGAAUACAAACGUGUUUCUAAUGUUAGAGUAUUUUACUGCCGACUUAGACUAAUGGGCCCCCAGAUGUCAGAAAAUAAAGUAUUUUACUUACCGUCUACCGCCUGGGGUGCCGGUCUUGCUACAGCCGCUCCUCCUUCUCUUGCUGAGAACACCAUACUGAUCAUCUCAAACAAUCCAAUAAUUACCAAGCUGUGCCAAUCAGCAUUUCCUAAUACAGAUGCAUCAAGUCAGUGCAUUUCUAUGAGGAACAUUCGUGCAUAGCGAAUUAGCAUGCUUGCGCUGUGUUUGCUUGUGACUUGUCUCUGGUGUCUCAGUAAGUUGGUUACCAGAGGACAAAAGGGCCAGGAAAGCGCAUUGUGCGUGUGUUUGGAGCCUGCUUGUGGUGUUGUGUGUCAGUAGAGUGAGCUGUAAAGAGUGUUUUCUGUAAAUGUCGGUUUCAGUUGUACUGUGUUUGUGGUGUAAUAUAUGUGGCUAGGGAUGUAGAGUGUUUGUGUGUAUGUAUAUGGGGCAUAGUGUGUAUAGUGGAUAUAGCAAGUGUGUGCAUCGGGGAUGUAGUGUAUGUGCUUAUAGAAAGUGUGUGUGUUUAGGGAAUGUAGUGUUUGUUUGCUUACAGGGUAUCUAGUGUGGGCAUAGGUGAUUCAGAGUGUGUGGCAUGUGGAGGAGAUCGAGUGUGUGUGUGUGUGUGUGGAGGACCCAGUGUGUGUAUGAGAUUUAGUGUGUGUAUGUGUGUGUGUGGGGAGAGGAUCCAGAGUUGUGCAGGGGAUCUAGUGUGUGUGUGUGUAUAAGGGAUGAAGUGUGUCUGGAAUGGAAUGUGAGUAGGUGUGCACUGUGUGUGUGUUAAUGGUGCAGUGUGUGUAUGUAUGUGAGGGGUGCAGUGUGUGUGAAGGGCACAGAUUGUGUUUGAGGGGUGCAAUGUGUGUGUGUAAGGAAUGCAGUGUGUGUCUGUGUUUAAGGGGUGCAGUGUGUGAAGGGUGCGUGUGUUUAUGAUGCAGAGGGAAGAUUAAAGCAAUAUAAUAUAUAUAUUUUAUAACCCCUUUCUCUUUUCACCUUUGUCUGGGAGGGGGGGCAUGGAGGUGUGUUUAGGGAAUGUAGUGUGUGUGUUUUUUUACAGGGGAUCUAGUCUGAGCAUGGGUGAUUCAGAGUGUGUAGUGGUGAUCGAGUGUGUGUGUGCAGGAUCCAGUGUGUAUAUGAGAUUUAGUGUGCGUGUAUAGAGCAUUCAGAGUGUGUAUAAAGGUUCUUCAGAGUGGCGUAUAAUAUUGAGAUUACUGCAUGGGCCAACCAGGGAGAUCUCUUGAUCUCCCCUCUCGGCCUUGGCCCCAUGGCCGUUGCAGCCCACCGGACAUUUGCCCAGGUUUGCACGAUGGCCAGGUACACUGGAAAUGGAGAUGAGGAUCCUAUGGCACGAGAUAUGCAAAUGAUUGCUGCAAAAAACUUGCAGAUAACUUGUGAUGGGAUGCUUGGAUGCUACAGCAGUUAAAAAAAAAUUAAUGUAAAUAAAACUCCGGGGCCUGACGGUAUUCACCCACGAGUACUUGAGGAGUGAAGUGUGGAAAUAAGUGAACCUCUGUAUUUAAUCUUUCAAGAUUCUUUUGUUUCAGGAAUUGUUUGGGUGUUGCAGUGGAUGUGAUCUACUUGAAAUUGCCAAGGCAUUUGAUAUGGUUCCUCACAACAGGUUAGUUUUUAAACUAAAAGAAAUUGGUCUAGAUGAAUAUUCUUGGGUAGAACAUUGGCUUAAGGAUAGAGUACAACGAGUUGUCACAAAAGUGGUAAGUAGUGUCCCUCAGAGUUCUGUUUUGGGACAGCUUCUAUUUAACAUAUUUAUAUGAUCUUGAAAUAGGCAUUGAAAGCCAUGUAUCAGUGUUUGCAGAUGACACAAAACUUUGUAAAGUAAUAAAAUGUGAGCAGGACGCUGAUUUGCUGCAGAGGGAUUUAGAUAGAUUGGGGGACUGGGCACUAAAAUGGCAAAUGAAAUGUAAUGUAGAGAAAUGCAAAGUUAUGAACUCUGGGGUAAAGAAUGCACAAGCAACUUACACCCUAAAUGGUAGUGGAUAAUGGAUAACCACACACAAGAAGGAUUUAUGAAUUGUUAUAUUAUUGUUAUAUUAAUUGUUAUAAAUUAGGCAGCAAUAUGCAAUGUCAAUCUGCAGUUGCUAAGGCCAGUAAGGUUUUGUCAUGUAUAAAUAGGGGCAUAAAUUCUCAGGAUGAAAAUAUAAUUUUGCCUCUUUAUAAAAUCGCUGGUAAGACCACACCUUGAAUAUGAUGUGCAAUUUUGGGCACCUGUUCUAAAGAAGGAUUUCAUGGCACUAGAAAAAGUGCAGAAAUUAGGUACAAAAUUGAUCAAAUAAAUGGAUAAUUUAAGUUAUGAGGAAAGAUUAAAAAAUUUAAAUUUCUGGGACAGGGCUUGGCCGCCAUUCUAAACGGUCACAUAGAACAAGGGCUCCUUAUCUAGAAUGCCCUAAUCUCUGCUAAAUUGCCUAUAUAGGGGUGCAAGCUACUCCUCAAAUUACCUAGAUGCGUCUGGUACACUGCUGGGCACCAAUCUGUGCAUUUCAUUGCCCUGCAGCAGAAGAGCUCUAGUCUAAUUACGGCCUAGUGUGGUCUCGACUGGAGGGGGCAGCGACCUCCUUGGUGGAGUCCUGCAGGCUGUGCUGUGGCCAGGUCUCGUAUUCCUCCCCCCUUUGGACCGGUGGGGGUCAUCCCAGUCUCCACCUGCCCUCCAGGUGGGCAGCGGUGUGCUGUAUGCUCUCUAGAUGGCAGGGGAUUUCAGGCUCACACAAGGCUCUGCGGCGGAUUCACCUGGAGAGAUGCCUUCUGCUCCUGAUUUGACCAAGUAUGUGUGCAAUUCUGGCACCGACUUGAGAUGAGGGCAACAUGCGUUUACUCACCAGCUGAGCCUUUACCUCCCAGAGCUCCCAUGGACAGUUCCUUGCAUUCUGGGCCAGGAGCCCACAGGGGGCUUCAACCUGAGCACUGUCCACGUGCUCGAGAGAAAUCUCCUCACCAAGAUCUUGCCUGGGAUCUUAGCCUAGUUGCUUGGGUCUGUGGACAUUGUGCAGUUUUUCCAUUACUGGUCCAGAGCUUGCAGGACGGGCUAUAGAUAGGAUGGGGUGUGUGCUCGGCGGAUCCGAUCCACACGCAGUGUCUGCAGGCCUUCUACAGCAUUGGCAUAGGCUGACUGACUUUCAAGCGUUCUCAUUCGCCCACUGGCCUAUCAAGCUCUAUUGCAAACUGAUUGCCCCACAGCUCCUCUGUUUUACCUAAUUUCUGUUGAUCACUCAUUCUCUUAAUUUUGCAUAGAAGUAACUACUAUAUUAGUAAGCUUUCGCUGGUGGGAUGGUAUUAAUCUUUAAUAGUCUGGUUAUAGGCUUAGCCUAUAACUCUCAGGCAGCAUGUUAUUCUCUGGCAGCAUCUCAGCAACAUAUACUGUAAAUGACCAUAUUAUUACGUAUAAGCUUGGUUAUACCUAAAAGUAAUUCUCAUGUGUAUCUUAAUCCAAUCACCAUGCAUAUUCUGUAUAGAGUGAAGAUGCUAAUCUUAUAUUUGCCGCUACCAGACUAUUAGUUUUCUUUUUUAAUUUUUGCAUGUUUCCUUAACCAUACCUAUAUAACUUUUAAAAGGGGACUGUACACUCAUUAUCUGUGACACGAUUAUGCUUCAACCAUAUUGUACAUUAAUGUCUUAAAACUGCUGUAUGAAUGCCAUGCCCACAAAAAAUAAAGAAUAACAUUUUUUUUUUAUUAGGUUAGAAAAACGGCACCUCACAGGGGAUAUAAUCGGGGGGCCAGUACAAACCACUAUCUGGAAAUCUAUUCAUAAACAGGGCUAUACAUAGGACACAAGGUCACGCAUUUAGGCUGGAAGAAAGGAGAUUUUUACAGUAAGAGCAAUAAAGAUGUGGAAUUCUCUGCCUGAAGAGGUAGUUUUAUCAGAGUCCAUACAGAUGUUUAAACUGAAAUUGGAUAAAUAAUUGCACAAACAUAACAUACAGGGAUAUCAUUUCUAAUUAGUGGGGUAAUAGCUGCUUGAUCCAAGGAGACAUCUGACUGCCAUUUUGGAGUCAAGAAGGAAUUUUUUCCUUGUUUGUUGCAAAAUUGGAAGUGCUUCAGACUGGGGUUUUUUGCCUUCUUUUGGAUCAACAGCAAAAACAUAUGUGAGGAAAGCUGAACUUGAUGGACGCAAGUCUCUUUUGAGCCUAUGUAACUAUGUAAUUAUGAGUGCCAUCUUAUCUCACCAUGCUUUCACUUGCUAACACCUCCAGGGACAUUGCACAGUCUCAUUCUAGUCUAGUAGCCUAGACAACCACAGAUGUUGGGUCCAAAUAAGCCAGCCCAGGUCUGGAGAAUAUUAAGACUAUGGGUCAAACCACUCAAGUGCUGAGUUAGCAAAGGCUCUCCACGAGUCCUGUUUGCUGUUUCACUCUUCCAUUACUGUGCCAACAAACAACUCAACACACCUCUUGCUAUUUUAAGAAUAAGAAUGAUGUUAAGCUGCGGCCCAAAACCCCAUUUAAUAGUGAUCCCCACCCCUCUUUGUCAGCUUUCCAAUUAUUGUACAAAUUAAACACUUUUCACUUUAUUUUAAAUAGAAGAAACAUACUGUGGUUUUCUUUAGAAUUUGGUAUUUUCAGUCAGAAAUUUUGCAUCCUAUGGAGACUUCCUGGUUUUCAUGUGUUAACGGGACACUCUAAGCACCAUGGCUUCUACAGACAAUUGAAGUAUCUACAAAUUAAGACAUACUCACCACUGAACAGCAUCACCAUCAUACUCCACAACCCACACAUUUGACUUUGAGCAGAAACCACAAACAGAACUAAUACUGUUUUUUUCAUGAGCACCAAGCAUGCGGAUAUACCCCUUUCUGCAAACAGACACACCGCCAAUAUCCUUUCCACACCACACCAAUUUCUUCUCUGCAGAACCACCAAUGUCCACUUCCCCAAACUCACCAAUGUCCACUUCCCCACACUCACCACCAAUUUAUAGCUAUAAAUACGCACAAUUUCAAUCCCUCUUUCUUCAAAUAGAAGAAAUGUAUAUUGACUCUGAAUAGUGGAUGGAUUUAAAGUGGCACUAUAGGCACCCAGACCACUUCAACUCAUUGAAGUGGUCUGGUUGGAUAGUCCCAGGUCCCUUAACCCUGCAAAGGUAAUUAUUGCAGUUUUUAAUAAACUGCAAUAAUUACUUUUGUGGGUUAACUCCAGCUCAAGUGGCUGUCUACUAGAGGUACUUCCGAAUGGUUAGGUGACUUUUGGUCGCCUUACUGACACUGGAUGUCCUCACGCUAUGCAUGAGGACAUCCAGCAUCACCCAAAACCCCACAGGAAAGAUGGAGGGAAGUCCUAAUGCAAGCACGGCCAUUGCAGCGCACAUGCAUUAGGUCUCCAACGCAGGAGAAAAAAAAACAAUAACAAAUAAAGGGAAGUGAAAUCAAAUCAAAGUUAGUGGUCGGAAAAUCUAUCAUAUAAUGUCAUGCUGCAGCAUCGUCCUUUAUCUCU